GAAUUACAGGCGUGAGCCACCAAACCUGGUCCUAAGUUUUGACUGUUCUAAGCUUAGCGUUUAUGUUUGGUACUUGUUCUCUCUCACUCCAGAUUCUGCCUGAUCAAUGCAGGAGUCCUGUACCUCUACUUCAGCAAUUACCUACAGAUUGAUGAGGAAGAAUAUGGUGGCACGUGGGAGCUCACGAAGGAAGGGUUUAUGACCUCUUUUGCCUUGUUCAUGGUCAUUUGGAUCAUCUUUUACACUGCCAUCCAUUAUGACUGAUGGUGUACAGCUCCCACCUGCUCCCUGUCCAGUCCAAAGGACCCUCUUGAUAACAGCACAGAAACUUGAUCACUGGGGAACCCCAGCCCCUUGGAACUUGGAAGACCCGUGUUUCCUGGACCGCGAAUCAGUGUAUUGGGUGUCAGUGUUUUCUGCAAGGGUUGUGACCUGAAACUUUUUAAAAAACCACCCACCUUUGGGGAAGCAUUUCUGAAUUUAUCCAUCACCAUUUCUUCUUGGAUACCAUCAAGUAACAGCUGUUUGCCGAGUGGAGCUGUCAUUUAAUUUGAUGCAUCUCCGGAUUCAGAUGAAACAUUAAAUUGUCUUCCUCGAUUCUCCAUCAGCUGUACAGUUUUUAAACUAUCAGUGGCAUUUCAAGUCUUCUGAAACAGCAUGGCUGUAUGUGCAUGGUCCAUAGCACAGUACAGGCAGCAUCUAACAACAGUUUUCAUUGUAGAAUGUUUUCAGAUACUUGAAUAAAUCAGAUCUUUAAUUGAGAA